UAAGGAAUAUUGGUCAAUGGACGCAAGUCUGAACCAGCCAUGCCGCGUGCAGGAUGACGGCCCUACGGGUUGUAAACUGCUUUUGUACGGGAAAAAACCUCCGGUCGUGAAUCGGAGCUGAUGGUACCGUAAGAAUAAGCAUCGGCUAACUCCGUGCCAGCAGCCGCGGUAAUACGGAGGAUGCAAGCGUUAUCCGGAUUCAUUGGGUUUAAAGGGUGCGCAGGCGGAUUAAUAAGUCAGUGGUGAAAUCCUACGGCUCAACUGUAGAACUGCCAUUGAUACUGUUAGUCUUGAGUAUUGUUGAGGUAGGCGGAAUGUGUCAUGUAGCGGUGAAAUGCUUAGAUAUGACACAAAACACCAAUCGCGAAGGCAGCUUACCAAGCAAUAACUGACGCUCAUGCACGAAAGCGUGGGGAUCAAACA
rnacentral:rRNA from 1 species